AGAGUUUGAUCAUGGCUCAGGACGAACGCUGGCGGCGUGCUUAACACAUGCAAGUCGAACGGAAAGGCCCCUUCGGGGGUACUCGAGUGGCGAACGGGUGAGUAACACGUGGGUGAUCUGCCCUGCACUUUGGGAUAAGCCUGGGAAACUGGGUCUAAUACCGAAUAGGACCGCAUGCUUCAUGGUGUGUGGUGGAAAGCUUUUGCGGUGUGGGAUGGGCCCGCGGCCUAUCAGCUUGUUGGUGGGGUAAUGGCCUACCAAGGCGACGACGGGUAGCCGGCCUGAGAGGGUGUCCGGCCACACUGGGACUGAGAUACGGCCCAGACUCCUACGGGAGGCAGCAGUGGGGAAUAUUGCACAAUGGGCGCAAGCCUGAUGCAGCGACGCCGCGUGGGGGAUGACGGCCUUCGGGUUGUAAAUCUCUUUCAGUAUCGGCGAAGCUCCAGGAUUUUUCUUGGGGUGACGGUAGGUACAGAAGAAGCACCGGCCAACUACGUGCCAGCAGCCGCGGUAAUACGUAGGGUGCGAGCGUUGUCCGGAAUUACUGGGCGUAAAGAGCUCGUAGGUGGUUUGUCACGUUGUCCGUGAAAACUCACAGCUUAACUGUGGGCGUGCGGGCGAUACGGGCAGACUGGAGUACUGUAGGGGAGACUGGAAUUCCUGGUGUAGCGGUGGAAUGCGCAGAUAUCAGGAGGAACACCGGUGGCAAAGGCGGGUCUCUGGGCAGUAACUGACGCUGAGGAGCGAAAGCGUGGGGAGCGAACAGGAUUAGAUACCCUGGUAGUCCAA
rnacentral:rRNA from 1 species